CGGAAGGAUCUGCGAUACGGAAGCUCCAAUUGCAGCUGGACAAACUGAAGCAGGAAAGCAGCUUGGAGAAGUGGAUCAACCAAAUCGAAAAACUAAAGGCAAAAGUAGCAUAUGAAGACGACCGCAGAAAAUGCAAAAUGACGGAGUACGAAGACGUCCAGAGGAUGCGUUGUAUUGCAGAGGCGCAUCUUAAGGCCAUCGAAGCAGAAGUUCCUGACACUGUAGCGCAAUGGGAAAUUUCUGUUACGCAGUUAAACAGACUACGUGAACUGUCUACGUUGCUAUGGAACACUCUCAGAGAGGAGCGAGCAGAGAUUAUUCCCAGACAAGUUGCAUCAAUCAAGC